UACAGAGGUCUCAAGCGUUGUUCGGAUUCAUUGGGCGUAAAGGUGCGUAGGCGGCGCGGUAAGUCGGUGUGAAAUCUUGGAGCUUAACUCCGAAACUGCAUUCGAUACUGCCGUGCUUGAGGACUGGAGAGGAGACUGGAAAUUUGACGGUGUAGCGGUGAAAUGCGUAGAUAUCGUAAGGAAGACCAGUGGCGAAGGCGGGUCUCGUGGACAGUUCC
rnacentral:rRNA from 1 species